AGCCCGUCCCGGAAUUUUUAAUUCCAAGGACGUGAAAUUACGAAAAUGCCCCUAAUACGUGACUAAGGUAUAAUUUUUACGUUCGUUAUAUCUAAGCUCCUAAAAUUUGGUAAGUAGAGUGGAGACUUAGAUUUAAAUUUAUGUUAGAAUUUUGUAGUUGGGGAUUGGGUAGGAUCUCACACCCCUUAAUUCUUUCCCUCUUUCCCGUACCCUUUCUCUCUCUCUUCCUCUCCGACGCUCAACCUCACCCAAAACCACCUAAAACAUAAACAAACGUCCAAGGUAAGACCACAUUUGGACUCCUGGAACUUCCACGAUCACGUAGACAUCAAUUUCAGGGAAAUCUAAGCUCACAGGGAGCUCUAGGAGGUUCCCACGAAGCUCGGAGUGCUUCGUUGGAAGUUUUUGGACGAAAGAACACGGAGAUCGACGAGUUCAAAGUUUGGCCGGAGCUUUCGAGGCAUUUUCCGAC